GCUAAUACCGCAUAAUAGUGUUUAACACAUGUUAGAGACUUGAAAGAUGCAAUUGCAUCACUAGUAGAUGGACCUGCGUUGUAUUAGCUAGUUGGUGGGGUAACGGCCUACCAAGGCGACGAUACAUAGCCGACCUGAGAGGGUGAUCGGCCACACUGGGACUGAGACACGGCCCAGACUCCUACGGGAGGCAGCAGUAGGGAAUCUUCGGCAAUGGGGGCAACCCUGACCGAGCAACGCCGCGUGAGUGAAGAAGGUUUUCGGAUCGUAAAGCUCUGUUGUAAG
rnacentral:rRNA from 1 species